UACAGAGGGUGCGAGCGUUAAUCGGAUUUACUGGGCGUAAAGCGUGCGUAGGUGGUCUUUUAAGUCGGAUGUGAAAUCCCCGAGCUUAACUUGGGAAUUGCAUUCGAUACUGGGAAGCUAGAGUAUGGGAGAGGAUGGUAGAAUUCCAGGUGUAGCGGUGAAAUGCGUAGAGACCUGGAGGAAUACCGAUGGCGAAGGCAGCCAUCUGGCCUAAUACUGACGCUGAGGUACGAAAGCAUGGGGAGCAAACAGG
rnacentral:rRNA from 1 species